rnacentral:rRNA from 3 species
UACGAAGGGGGCUAGCGUUGUUCGGAAUUACUGGGCGUAAAGGGCGCGUAGGCGGCUUAUCAAGUCAGGCGUGAAAGCCCCGGGCUUAACCUGGGAACUGCGCUUGAGACUGGUAGGCUAGAGUACCGGAGAGGUAGGUGGAAUUCCCAGUGUAGAGGUGAAAUUCGUAGAUAUUGGGAAGAACACCAGUGGCGAAGGCGGCCUACUGGACGGUAACUGACGCUGAGGCGCGAAAGCGUGGGGAGCAAACAGG